AUCAUUCAAAUGUUUUAUUCCAUGGGCCUAAGCCUUAUUUAUAAUGAAUGCUGACAAUCUUCAAUAAAAUCUUAUGGAAUCUAAAAAUAGAAUUCCUAUGUAGCCAAUAUUUGAAAAGUAGGAAAGUACCUAAAUAAGAAAGUACUUAAAUAAAAAUCUCUAAAAAUAAGGAAGUGCUUUAAUUAAGAAAGCACUUAAAUAACAAAAAUCUAAGAUUAUUUAUUGCCUAAUAUAAAGGUACAGAAGAAAAGAAAAAUCGAGAUAGGCUAAAAAGGGAAAUAAGAAAAUUCUAAGACUACGUAUUUCCUAAUAUAGAGAUGCGAAAGGAAAGGAAAUUAUAGAUAAGCUUAAAAAAAGAAAAGAAAAUAAAGUGGGCCUUUUCUUAUGCACACGUGUGGAGCAAGCACGCAUGAGAUGUUGGUCGUUUCUUCAAAUCUUGAUCAAUUGGCUUGAGAGCAUAUGAGAGCAUACAUAGAGGAUACGGUUUUAGGAGACGCUAUCUUGAUUUCCCAGUGGCAUAGAAUCUAGCUCUAAUAGACACAUGCAUAAAAGAGAGUUGGACAUAAUAACUUUCAAAAGUGGAUCAUAUACAAAUCAAAUAGAUUUAUUUCUACUUAUGAAAAUAAAACAAUCAAUAUGUAAAGAUUGUAACCAAGAGAGAGUAUGAUGCGCAACAUAGGUUAAGGAUUAUGGAUGUUUGCAUUAAGAGAUGAAGAGGGGAAUGAAAUUAACAGGUGUCCAAAAACUAGGUGGUUGAAUUCAGAAGGAGAGAAUAAUGUUAUCACGAAAUAAAUUUAUGGAAGAAAGAAAGUGGAAUGUUGAGGAAGAAGUAAAUGUUAUGUGGAAUGAGUUGGCCGAGUGCAUUAAGGAAGUCAAAAAAGAUGUUUUAGGAGUAUUUGAAGGGAAAAGCCAAUCAUAUAAGGGUCUGUUUAGAUUCAUGGGAAGCAAAGGAACAUGAAAGUCAAUUCCAUUGAUUGUUAAGCUGGUCUUUGUGGGAAACACUAUUUUACACUUCCCAUCUUUGUUGGAAAAUAAUCAAAUUUAUUUUCUCAUCUCCACCCCUAAGAAAAGCAUUUCCUUACAAUAGAAGGAAAAUGAGUUUCUCAAGAGUUAAGCCUAAAUGUGUCACCAUCCAUCUUCAAUCGCCUCACAUGUACCUCAUGUGUUAAUAUGCCAAAUGAGCCAUUAUCCAUCUUCGGUUAUAUGCCACAUGUGCCACUAUGCUACACGUGCCAGUGUGCUGCAUGUGUAACCAUCCAUCUUCUCUUGCGCCCCACAUGCGUAAAGCGUCCCACGUGUGCCAAUGUGCCACCUGUGAUACCAUCCAUCUUCUCUUAUGGCCUACAUGUGCUAACAUGCCGCAUGAAUCAUCAUUCAUAUUCUCUUGUGUGCCACAUGUGCAAAGGACUCCACAUGCACCAAUGUGCCACAUAUGCCAUCACCCAUCUUCAAUUGCUCCAAAUAUGCCACAUGUGCCAAUGGCGCCAAUGUGCGCAAGUGAUGCCAUUUGGCUUCAAUUGGCCACCUGUCAAAUGUUCCAAUGUGUGUCUUGUGCCACACGUGCUACUGUAUAGCUUCAAGAACCUUACAUCCGUCAUGUGUGCCACAAUUCAGCUUCAAGUGCCUACAUACGCUGCAUAUGCCACACGUGCCGCUAUCUAUCUUCAAGCAUCCCACAUGUGCCACAUGUGUUAAUCUGACACAUGCUAGUGACUACCUAGAUUUUUUCCCCAAGAUUUUCUUCGUCUUUUUUUUUUUGCCAAACAACAAAUUUGAACGCAUAUCGUAACUUUCUAGGAAAAUCUUGUUGAAAAACAAACAAGGAAAACAAUGUUUCCUUUCCCGCGGUUUCUUGAAAAUAUGGUUUCUAUGCAUUUUGUGAAUCUAAAUAGACCCUAAGGAAAUUUGGUAGGUGGUGGAAUGACCAUUUCUAAAAAGCUAUUCAUGAGAAACAUUCAUGUUCCAAAGCCUGAAAAUGGACUAGAAAUGAUGAAAAUUUUGAACAAUUUAAAAAGGACAAAAAGAUUGCUAAGGGCUUGUUUGGAUUGGUGAAUAGCACGGCAAAGUAAAUAAUGUUUAUCAGGAAACCUUAUUUCUAGGAGACUGUGGGAAAGGAAACAUAGUUUUCCUUGUUUUUUUUUUUUUUUCCACAAGAUUUUCCUAGAAAUUUAAGACUUAUUUUCAAAUUGUUGUUAGGCAAAACAAAAAUUUUUUCUUAAAAAAAGUUUCCUACUAGUUAUUGCCAUGUGUCAAAUUAGCACAUUUGGCACAUAUGGGAGUUGGGACAUUAGAAAAUGAAUAGCUACACAUGCAACGGAUGUGGAAUGCUUGAAGUUGUAUAGUGGCACAUGUGGGGUGCUUGAAGUUGUAUAGUGGCACAUGUGGCACAAGAGAUACAUUGGCACAUUUGACACGCGGGCACUUAAAAGCUAGAGGGUAACACUUGCGCACAUUAGCACAUGUGGCAUAUAUGGAGCAAUCGAAGAUGGACAAAGGCACAUGUGUCACAUUGGUACACAUCGGUUGUUUUGUACAUGUGGAGUGUAGGGGAUGUGAAUUGCUAGUAACGCUUGGUUAAAGGGCCCCCUAUAACCCUUGAUGCGGUCCAAUGAAAAGCAUCAUGUGUACAUAUUAGAUGUUAGAAAAGAAAAGAUUCCCCUAUGUGAAGUGAUGAUAUUUCCCUUUCCACCAUGGGGCUUGCAUUUAACACAUGCAUGUGACAUUGUAAUGGUAUUGUCCAAAUGGCACAUUAUCAGGACCGCCACAAGGGGGUUAUAGGGACCAAAUGGCACAUUGCACACGUGAUGCUAUAAUGGCAUUCUCCAAUUCAUGGGGACCAUAUCGAGUUGGGGGUUACAUUAGGGCCUAUUUGUUUCUACAAGUUCCACAAUAAAGUGGUGUAUUUAUGUAAUGAUUACCUACACUAUGCAAAUGCAUUACAAUAUCGGGCCACGAACCCUUGAUUUGCUUGAAUCCACUUAAGGACCGUAUUACGGUGAUUGGAUUCUAUAACACCACCUGUUCUAUGAAAUGCGGUCUUUUGAUGCUUCUGCGCAUGGACAGUUCACCUUCGGGACCUUAGGUUGACGCAGAAAGGCUAUUGACGUUGCUGGCUACUAGACGGUUCUUUGCGGGCCCCAAAUCAAGCCAUCCUUGUCAUUGACGGGCUGGGUUUUGGAUGCAUCAAAUCAGUGAAGCCAUGCAUAUAGAAAUAUACGGCCAAACCGCAAUAGAUUUCACAAGAGUCAUGGCCAUCACAUAAAAAUGGAUUUGGAAUGAUUAGAGGUGGUAUGGUUAUGCAUGCAGGCAAGGUAUUGAAGAUUAGGCAUGAAAAACUAGAAUUAGUGAUCAGAGGGUAUAUUCAUCUCAAAGCAAGCAUGGCAGGUCCACAUAUUUCACAUUACCUUCAAAGCACUCAACGGUUUUUGUGAUUUCGGCGAUCUCCUCGUUGCACGGUAUUUGCAACAUUAGGGAUUUGAAUGCAAUUGCCGAACUUGCGAGCUGCUUGCUUAGAAAGCUUCUCUUCUUUCGUAUCAUCAAAUGGUGACGUGAUGGAGUAACGUUGUGAGAGUGAAGGGGUUCUUUUAUCUUGCAUGGGAAGCGUGUCUACAGAAUGCCGUGAUCCAACGACCACCAUAGUUGUGUCGUAUCUCUGUGGAGAGAUUUCGAUGACAGGGAAGAAAUCAUCCGAAUUUGGAAGGAUGGUGGUGGAAUGCGAAAAUAAAUAAGGCUUGGUUCCCCUUAAAGAAAAUUCGGCAGUAAAGCAAAUAUCUAGUUGUCGGAUUUCAUUGGUUGGUGUGCGUUUUACACUACUUUACAGUGGAACUUGCGGAAACAAGCAAGCUUUUAGAAAAUGUGGCACAUGUGAGGCUAUUGAAGGUGGAUGGUAGCACAUUUAGGUUAUAGGGACCAAAUGUGUUACAAGGACUAAAUGUGGCAAAUGCGAGGGUUAUAGGGACCAAAUGGCACAAUGGGCGCACACGACGCUAUAAUGGUAUGGUUCAAAUCAUACGAAUCAAAUCACAUUGUGGGUUACAUUGGUAAAUGCGGUACAUGUGAGGCUAUUAAAGGUGGAUGGUGGCAUCUUUGGGUUUAACUCUUAAAGAAUUCAUUUUCCUUUCGUUGUAGGAAAAUGCCUUUCUUAGGGAUGGAGGUUAGAAAAUAAAUAUAUUAAUUUUCCAACAAAAAAAUUAAGUAGGAAAUUUUGUUUCCCACAAAUUCCAACAAAGAAAGGCUUCACAAAUAAUGGAAAGUUAGUUUCGUUAGAAAUGGUGUUGCCUUUCAUUUCCUUUCCAUGAUUCUAAAUAGGCCUCAAGCAUUUCAAAGCCUAAGAAGGGAUAAGAAACGAUGAAAAUUUUGAACAAUAUAAAACUGUAAAAGCGGUUGCCAAGAACGUAGCAAGUGAGGCGAAACUCAAGGCUUAUGAUGAUCUUUGCAAUAGAUUGGGAACAAGAGAAGGUAAGAAAGAUGUUUUAAAACUUGCAUAAGUGAGAAAGAGGAAUGCUAGGGACUUAGAUUAUGUUAGAUGCAUUAAGAGCAAUGACCAAAGGAUACUAAUAAAGGACAAUGAAAUCAAUGAAAGGUGGAGACUCUAUUUUCAGAACUUGUUAAAUGAUAACCUCUUUGAGAGCAUAAGUAUAGAAGGAACCUUAAACUCAAAUGACAUUAGAAACUAUAGAUACUGUUGUCGAAUUAAGGUAUAUCUGAAGUGAAAGAAACUUUGAUAAAGAUGACAAUAGGAAAGGCCCUCGGAUCAGAUUGUAUACCAAUAGAAGUUUGGAAGUAUAUGGGAGAUAUUGGGUUAUUUUGGUUGACAAAGUUGUUCAACAAGAUUGUAAGAUGAAAGAAAAUGCUAGAUGAAUGGAAGAAAAGUACCGUGGUACUUAUUUAUAGGAAUAAUGGAGACAUACAAAGCUGCACUAAUUAUCAUGGGAUUAUACUUCUGAGCCAUACUAUGAAACUUUGGAAGAAAGCAAUUGAGCAAAGACUAGGGGAUGAGACGAAUGUAUCAUAAGAUGAGUUUGGUUUCAUGCCCAUGAGGUUUACUACAUAAGCUAUUUUCCUACCCAAACAAUUGAUGGAGAAAUAUAGGGAGUGAAGGAAGGAUCUCUACAUUGAGAAAGCAUAUGAUAGGGUCCUGAGAGAGUUAAUAUGGUGUGUGUUGGGAAAGAAAGGAGUUUUCAGAUGAUAUUUUGACAUAAUUAAGUUUAUGAAUGAGGGAGUGGUAACAAAUGUGAGGACCAUUAGUGGAGAGACAAGUGAGUUGCCAAUUACUGUAGGCUUGCACAAGGGGGCGGCAUUAAGCCUGUAGCUUCUCACAUUGGCUACGUACGAGUUAAUGAGGCAUUUGCAUGAAGAGAUCCCAUGAUUUAUGUUGUUUGCAUAUGACAUAAUUUUGAUUCACAAGAUGAGGGAAGAUCUAAACAGAAAGCUAGUUUUAUGGAGGGGUGCUUUAGAAUCAUAAGGAUUUAAAAGUAGUUGAAUUAAAACAAAGUAUCUAGAGUGCAAUUUUAGUAACAAUAGGAGUGAAAAUGAGAAAUUAGUUAAGAUUGCUGACAAAAAGUUUCCCAAUAUGACCACUUUCGACAUCUUGGAUCAAUAAUUCAUAAGAGUGGAUGGAUCAAGAAGGAUGUUGCCCAUAGAAUCAAUCUGGGUGGGAAAAAAAAGAUGUGCCUAUGUAGUUUUAUGUGAUCGUCGUGUACCACUCGAUUGAAAGGGAAAUUUUGUAGGCUAGCUACAAGACCUGCCAUGCUUUAUGAGAUAGAAUGCUGGUCAGUCAAGGAACAGGAUGUUCAUGGUCUGAGUGCAGCUGAAAUGAGGAUUUUGAGAUGGAUGAGUGGCAGGAUGAGGACGGAUAGAAUUAGGAAUGCAUUCUAGGGAACUUAGGAGUAGCACGAAUAGGUAAUGAGAUGAGGGGAAGUAGACUUAGAUGGUUUGUUUAUGUGCAUUGAAGACCAUAAACCGCAUUGGUUAGGAGUGAGUUGGCACGAGUUGAAGGCUCUAAAAGGGCAGGGGGAUAGAGGUAGUUAGAAAUGACUCAAUUGCCUAUGGUCUAACUGAAGUUAUGGCCCUUGAUAGGGUAGAAUGGUAGAACAAGAUUCAUGUAGCUGGCCCCAAUUAAUUGGGAUACAUAUUCCCGAUACAAUAAUUUUAAUGUGACUUGGUCAUUUCUACAAAUCAUGCCAGACCCUGAUAAGUUUCUUGAUGAAAAAAUUGUGUUGCCUAUAAAAUAAAAUAAAAUAAAAUAAAACAAAUAUUAGCCAAUAUCUACCUGCUGAUGCACAAUUUUCAAUUCCACAAAUUUAUUUAUUUAUUUUUGUCUUUUUUCGUAGCGGAAGCGGUGAAAGGCUUCUUUCACAUGUAGAGUUGUCAUUUAUGGUAUGUGAUUGUGAUGGCACAAACAAAAGCAUAUAAAUGAAAGGGACAAAAUAGAAACACGAAUUUGCAUGGAUCAUCCACGGAAGAAAACAAUUGGAGAGUUUUCAAUUUGCAGUCAAUUGAGAGCCACCGCUAAUCGAAAUCUUUUAUGCUCUUUAACUCUAAUUUAUCUCAAACAUGGUUACAUAUUUUCUACACUAGAAAUACCCUAAAAAAGUUUAGGUUGGGGCAUCGCUUCUGUCCAAGAGGUUGCUUGCCCCUAGACCCCCUAGGUGGGUCCACACCCUAGGGCCCUUCCGCAUACGGCAGGGUGUAUAGUGCACAUGAAUAGGUAAAACAUAAUAAAAGACACUGCAUGCAAAUGCAACAUAUAACAAAUUACACAUUUUGUCUUAAUUGCUUUAAAAAGUACUACAGCCCUCAAAACUCUAAAUCUAAAACUAAAUUCCUGCAAUAUUUCCUCUCAUCAUGUUUGGUGAGAGGCAAGGAAAUGAUGUAGCAGUUUUUAGCUUGCUUAAGAAUAGCCUUUCCAUUGUUGGACUCUUAUCCCUGGCUUGUCCUAUAUCUUUCUAGUGUGUUCUGCACCUUCACAGACAAAUGCAUGUGAUUUGAAAACUACCGAGUGCCUCACAACUCCAACAAUAGAGUACAUAGGGUCACCGGAAAGGUCAGUAGAGAUGGCAGCCAUAACAGUGUUGUACAUGCAUAAAAAAUACUGUGAACAAAGUAAAUAUAAAUAUUAGUAAUUUUCAUUUUUUUUAUUGGGCUAUAUUUUUUAUACGUGAAAAAAUGACAUUGGUUCAGCUGACAUGGGCACAGAUGCAACCAAUGAUUUUGGCCUGACCGAUCAGGCUGCUGAUAUUGAUAUUUUAAAACUUGCCACUGGCCUCAUUGAACGACAAAAAUGUCCCUUGGGCAUUUUUGCACACAUGCUCUGUGCUCAAUUUAGUGGUGACAUCAGUUGAUUAGAUAAAUCAUAUGGAACUUCUAUAGUGGAAUGGCUGAACAGGUUUCACGUAGCUUACCCCAAUUAGUUCUCAUAAGGCUUAGAUGUUGUUGUUGUUGAUGAUCAUGAUGAUGAUAUAGAACUUCCAUUGGCUUGUAAGUUGUAAGAUAACCAUUGUAUGAAAUUGAUACAAUUUGUAA